GCCUGGCUGGCUCAGUCGGUGGAGCAUGCGACUCUUGAUCUCGAGGUUGUGAGUUCAAGCUCCACGUUGGGUG
rnacentral:tRNA from 1 species